AUGGAGCACCCCUGGUUCUGCCACGGUGCGAGCGACGGAGGCGAGCAGGAGCAACUGAUGCGCGACCACAAGGAGGCGGCGUGGUUCAACGCGGAGUUUGAGGAGGACAUGGCCCGGGCCAUGACCGCGUUCGACAUCUUGGCCUUCUCGCCCGGCUCGGACCUCUCUGGGAUGUUCGGCGCUGGGCCGGGCACGGAGCGGGUGUUCGUGGGCGAGCCCGCCACUGUCGUGCUAGCCCAGGUCGAGGAAGCCGGGAGGAAGCGAGGGCACCGCGUGAGGAGGGAAGGGUACCACGCCGGGCCGGUGUACGUGGAGGCGAUGGCCGGCGGCAUUGUUGCCAAGGUGACUGUGUUUAGGAUCGCUGAUGCGGUGUCAGUGGUCGAGGUCGUGAAGGGCCACGGUGCGGAGGCUGCGGCGUUCUGGAAGGACUGGCUCGAGCCGGUCGUGAAGCCUCGGACAGUGUGA
rnacentral:rRNA from 1 species